AAGGGUAGAGGUGCAUUGUUUAUUAGUAACUAAUAUGAGGGUGAUACUUAUGAUUAUUAGUGAAAAGGGUCAAUGCCGAAGUAAGAAACUUAUAUCAAAUACUCUUACUAGGAUUACAUCUAAUAAGUGUAAUACUACCAUAGUAGAUAAAGAUAUAACGAUGGAGCGCUGCUGU
rnacentral:ncRNA from 1 species